AGCAAACCAACAAUAGAGGAGUUCAUGAUUUAUUUUUUUUAAAGCCACACAUUGUCCUAUCUUAUUCAGAGCAGAAUUUUUCCAACAACCAAAUUCUAUGACAGUCUGGUUUUCAGAGUUAUGUCAUAAAAAUUAUAGUCAAAUCUAUUAUGGUAGUCUAGACUGCUCACAAAAGGGGAACUCAAGGGAAAGAGUGGAGAUUUUCUCAUGGAAAUAGAUAAUGGGAAGACUAAAAUGUUUCAUCUACUUUAAAUAAGUGUUAUAGUCUAUAACCUUUUAGAAUAGUUUAGUUGCUUUUUGGAAAGCACAAAAAAAGAGGGAUACAAUAAAUUGUUCCAGAAGAAAAUGUGCUAUUGUUAGUCCUGCUCUGCUGGGGUGGUGAUAAGAGCUUGUAAAAGCCGUGUGUUAUUUCAGAAGUAGUCCAGAAGCAAAGCUUUUCUUCUCUCCAACAUGUAUGCUUGUCCUCUAUGGGAGAGAUUAAUAGCUUGUCACAGAAACACAAGCCAAGCUGUCUAGUUUAGCUGGAAUGAAAGGAUUCCAAUUUCUGAAAUCCUGAAUGGAACAGCUUUUCAAAGUGGCAAACAAAGACAUCUCCUUGGCUGACGCCGUGUUGCCUGUGGUGGAGAUCAGGGAACAGCUUUACAAGCAGGGCCUGGAGGAAGGAUUUGUUUGAAUCUUCCCAGCCUGACACUACAUCUUCCUCUACCUCCUGACACUGGGUGGAACAAGGUGCACGUGAGUCAAAGUCUGCAGAAUCAGGGCAUAAACAGGGGAUCCACAGAUGCUCCAGUGUCCCUCUAGUUAUGGUUCUGUACAAAGGGAGUCAAUCCAAGAAAGAAUUAGUGGUGGAUGCCCAAAAGAGUCAUCUUUGCUUCUUUGUGACAGAUUGCUCUGCCUGGGAAAAUGAACUACAGCAAGUGCACAGUUAACAUGAAUUUUCAUGGGGGGAAAACAAAACAGUGAUGGGUCUUCCUUUUUUAGCAAAGGGAUGUAAAAGUGGUACCUGUCUGUAGACAGGCUUUGAUACAGGAACUGGCAGGUUCUCAUUAAUCCCAGCAGCAGGGUCCCAAGGUCUGCUACUGCUGUAAAAACAUCUGCAGAAGGAUUCCUGACACAUAGCAGGCUUUCUUUUAGUUGAGACAAGAAAAGAAGCAACAACCGCCGAUUCC